UGGGGAAUUUUGGACAAUGGGCGAAAGCCUGAUCCAGCAAUGCCGCGUGUGUGAAGAAGGCCUUCGGGUUGUAAAGCACUUUUGUCCGGAAAGAAAUCCUUGGCUCUAAUACAGUCGGGGGAUGACGGUACCGGAAGAAUAAGCACCGGCUAACUACGUGCCAGCAGCCGCGGUAAUACGUAGGGUGCAAGCGUUAAUCGGAAUUACUGGGCGUAAAGCGUGCGCAGGCGGUUUGCUAAGACCGAUGUGAAAUCCCCGGGCUCAACCUGGGAACUGCAUUGGUGACUGGCAGGCUAGAGUAUGGCAGAGGGGGGUAGAAUUCCACGUGUAGCAGUGAAAUGCGUAGAGAUGUGGAGGAAUACCGAUGGCGAAGGCAGCCCCCUGGGCCAAUACUGACGCUCAUGCACGAAAGUGUGGGGGAGCAAACAGGAUUAGAUACCCUGGUAGUCCACGCCCUAAACGAUGUCAACUAGUUGUUGGGGAUUCAUUUCCUUAGUAACGUAGCUAACGCGUGAAGUUGACCGCCUGGGGGAGUACGGUCGCAAGAUUAAAACUUAAAUGAAUUGACGGGGU
rnacentral:rRNA from 1 species